rnacentral:RNase_P_RNA from 1 species
AAAAGCCCGAGGGCAACUUACGCUCGCAAGAGUGAGGAAAGUCCCCUCUCCGCGGUAGAGUCCAACCUGUGCAAGCAGGUACCCUGGAAAGGGUGGUUCAGGGAAAAGAAAUAAACGGUCCUCUGUAAAGUGUGAUUCUUCCGGAUGACGUUUCAGGGGUGUCCGAUGGGAACCUUUCCUGGACGGAGAAAGUCUAAACAGACCCUGUGAUGCUACCGAGAGGGUCGGGUAAGACGCAGCCUUAUGGCAUAAGUCGAAUGUUGCCAACCCGAAAGGGCCAACAGAAAGGGGCUUACUCCGGGCAUUU